CACGUAGGGUGCGAGCGUUGUCCGGAAUUAUUGGGCGUAAAGAGCUCGUAGGCGGUGUGUCGCGUCGGCCGUGAAAACCUGCAGCUUAACUGUGGGCUUGCGGUCGAUACGGGCAUCACUGGAGUUCGGCAGGGGAGACUGGAAUUCCUGGUGUAGCGGUGAAAUGCGCAGAUAUCAGGAGGAACACCGGUGGCGAAGGCGGGGUCUCUGGGCCGAUACUGACGCUGAGGAGCGAAAGCGUGGGGGAGCGAACAGG
rnacentral:rRNA from 1 species